GAUGAACGCUGGCGGCGUGCCUAACACAUGCAAGUCGAACGGAAAGACCCUGAGCUUGUGCCUUUCACGUUGGCGGCGGGCGGGCGUGUCACGCGUGUAUCACCCACUUCUAUUUCGGGGAUCAUCUCGAAAAUCCGGCUCCUAUACCAGAGAAUAUCUUGCACCGCAUGGUGCAAUGGAGAGAUUCGGCUUUUGUGGCUGUUAUAGCUGAUUCCGCGCUGGAUGGGCUAGUUGGUAAGGUAACGGCCUUCCAAGGCUACGAUGCGUAGCCGAACUGAGAGGGUGAUCGGCCACACUGGAACUGAGACACGGUCCAGACUCCUACGGGAGGCAGCAGUCGGGAAUGUGGGGCAAUGGGCGAAAGCCUGACACAGCGAGCCCGCGUGAGUGAAGAAGGCCUUCGGAUCGUAAAGCCCUGUUAUUGGGGAAGAACAGCUGUGGAAUGAAACAUGGCCGUCGUGACGGUACCUAAUCAAAAAGCACCGGCUAACUACGUG
rnacentral:rRNA from 1 species